GACGAACGCUGGCGGCGUGCUUAACACAUGCAAGUCGAACGGUAAGGCCCUGCUUUUGUGGGGGGCUAGAGUGGCGAACGGGAGUGUUACACGUGAGUAAUCCGCUUUUGACUUGGGUAAAACUUCAGGACACUGGGGAUUACACCGGACAGGUGCUUCUGCCGUAUGGUGGGGGUGGGAAAGUUUUGGCGGUUGGGGAUGGACUCGCGGCUUAUCAGCUUGUUGGUGGGGUAGUGGCUUACCAAGGCUUCGACGGGUAGCCGGCCUGAGAGGGUGACCGGCGCCAUUGGGCCGAGGAAAGGGCCAAGAUUCCAACGGAGGGCAGAGGUGGGAAUUAUGGAACAUUGGGGGGAGGCCUGAGGCGGCAACGCCGCGUGCGGAAUAAGGGCCUUCGGGUUGUAAACCGCUUUCGCCUGUGACGAAGCGUGAGUGACGGUAAUGGGAGAAGAAGCACCGGCUAACUACGUG
rnacentral:rRNA from 1 species